ACCUUGAUGGCUCAGUUGGUUAGAGCGCAGGUCUCACAGUCAUUAUGAACCCGCAAUCCUGAGGUCGCAAGUUCGAUCCUUGCUCAGGGCA
rnacentral:tRNA from 1 species